CCUACGGGGGGCAGCAGUGAGGAAUAUUGGUCAAUGGGCGCAAGCCUGAACCAGCCAAGUCGCGUGAGGGAUGACGGUCCUAUGGAUUGUAAACCUCUUUUGUCGGGGAGCAAGGCCCGCCACGUGUGGCGGGAAGGAGAGUACCCGACGAAAAAGCAUCGGCAAACUCCGUGCCAGCAGCCGCGGUACUACGGAGGAUGCGAGGGUUAUCCGGAUUUAUUGGGUUUACAGGGUGCGUAGGCGGAAGGUUAAGUCAGCGGUAAAAUGUCGGUGCUCAACACCGGCCUGCCGUUGAAACUGGUCUUCUUGAGUGAGCGAGAAGUAUGCGGAAUGCGUGGUGUAGCGGUGAAAUGCAUAGAUAUCACGCAGAACUCCGAUUGCGAAGGCAGCAUACCGGCGCUCAACUGACGCUGAGGCACGAAAGCGUGGGGAUCGAACAGGAUUAGAUACCCCUGUAGUC
rnacentral:rRNA from 1 species